UUGACCUCGGAUCAGGUAGGGAUACCCGCUGAACUUAAGCAUAUCAUAAGCGGAGG
rnacentral:rRNA from 1 species